CCUUAUGCACAGUGUACUUAAAACGAGGGCGAGUAACUUUAGCUAUAAAAAGAAGCGACAAAGAAGCACGGGGCAAGUCAGAAUGGAGAGAUAAUUGCCAGGAUCUAAUUUAAGUGUCAGUGCACACAGCUUGCUUUCCUGGCUUGGGCUUCGAGGCGCAGCGUUGGUGCAGUGAAGGCAAGGGAGGCUAGGUCGGGCUGGAGAGGCUGGUUUCCUGGGAUCGAGCAGGGGUCUGGCCAGCUCCCAGAGAGGAAGCCCCUCUGGGUGGGGCUGUGAGUGGUAGGCCCACACCCAGCGGCCCUCACAGGAACUUCACUCCAGCUCCUUCACUGGUGGGCCUGUGGUUUCUAGAAGAGAAGAUGCACUUCCCCAUGAGAAAGAGGUCAGUUCCUCUUUCCUGAGUGGCACAAACAGACUGCGGGACCCUUGGACUUCCUGCCACUGUCCACCCCAGCAGGUGAGUUAUGCUUUCCUCUCAGGCCAACACUGAGGCAUUAGACCCUGCGUUUCUCCUGGGGGCUGACUCUGUGAGCUCAGCAAGAAGUGUCCUCAGCUCUCAGGGUCUCUCAGAAGCCUUCCUCAGCUGGGAGCAUGGGCUACCUGAGCCUCUAAGUGUGACCAUGGAGCCACAGCGGCUGAACAUCCCUGGAGAGCCAGGAGAAAUGCACAGACAGUAGCCUCGCCUCUGGGCAACCGAGUCAUGCUCUCUGUUUUGACAAAAGUCUGAAGUAUGGUAGCCGAGGCUACCGAAAACAUCAUUUGUUCCGACAGUGAUAUGGGCUUAGUGUAAAAAGGUAAGGCUGUGUCCCCUCCUAACUCAUCCCAGGAGCAAACCCCACCUCCUUGAGAGUGGGUGUUAGAGAUAGGUAUGGAAAUGAGAAGAAUAGGGCUCCCCAGGCCGCCUUAGACCUCUAGCAGGCUGAGGUUUCAUGGCAGCUGGGACUAACUCGUCCUCCCCACACCUGCCACCACCUGAAGCUCCUCUAACAAGGUGAGAAUGCCUUUGUGAGACAAUUAGGAGAGAAAGUCUUACACAACAAAGGACAGGAGUGUGGUAACACUCAGGUGUGAACGAGUUAAAGGAUAACCUGCCAAUCAAUCAGAUCUCAAGGACUCCAAAGGAGGCCCAUCUGGUGCUCGUGUGUAGGCAGAACAAACAUUCUCUCUGCCGAGGUAGGGCACAGACAGGGGAGUUGCUCAGAGGGUUGGCGCAUGAAGUUGGAGCAUGAGGUCUGAAGACUUUGUUCAUUGGCCUUGAGUAGGGCCCAGUUUACUCCCCGUUGGGCAGAGGAGAGGACACAUCCAGACGUUUAGUCUCCCAGCUAAGGAGACUGAGGAGCAGGCGUCUCAGCUUUGCGUUGUCUGGUGCCGGUGUUUGUUGAGGUUCUUCAGCCCAGGUGACUUCCUCCAUAGGCCAGCCCAGUGUCAUGAACAUAAUUCUUGAGUGGCGAAUCAGCCCUAUACAGAUGCCCAAGUAGAAGUGGCCUUCAGAAGGACUUCCACAAACCCUCAUGGGAUAGUUUCAUCUCUCCAGGACCGAUUUUACUCCUGUGUACACCUGAACAGCCACAUCUAUCCAGGACUCUGGAGAAACUUGCGCCCUCAUCCCUUCCAUUAAGAAAUGCAAAACAGAGUGGUCUUUUUUUUUUUUUCUUUCUUGAGGCUCUUAAAGUUCAGAUUACCCCUUCAGAUUGAUCUAAAUGUUCACAGAUGGGCCAGGACCUGAGGAUGGGUGGCAUGGGAUUGCUAAUUAGCAUGUUCCAGUGUACGCAUUCAAAUGUGUGUUUUUCCCAUAGUUCAGAUUCAGACUGACUACCCUCUCCCACUUGGUCUUUGAGACGUCAUCCCCAGACGCUUCCUGGGGAAUGGAGAGCCCACAGUGUCUUUCCGUGUUAGGCCUUGACUUUGUCCUGUGAGGCUCAAAGGAACAAGAUGUGACAAUCUGUGAUGCCAGUUUGUGAAAUCCCCAAGCAGCUGCCGCCCAGUGUGGCUGAAGCAGCCACUGGGUUUUGGAGGAGACGUGGGUAAGCUCAUGGAGGGCCACCGCUCUCUUUCCCGUCCUGCCGUGAGUGUCUACGCGUGUGCGGUGCCAGCCUGUGAGGCAUUCUCUCCUAGGGUGUUCAUCACAGCACUGUGGAACCUACCAGAAGUGGAGCUGCAGCUGUGCCACAGGAUCGCUGACUGGAAACUGAGACCUGACAUGGUUGGGGGCUCCCCUGAGGUUAUAACUGGCUGCCAUGGUUUGAGGGCUCUCCUGAGGUUAUAGCUGGCAGCAGGUUGAGUCUGACCCCAAGGCAGAUGUUCCAGAGUGGCAUGAAGGUGGCAUGGAGUGAGGUCUGUGGACAAGUUUGGUCUUCUGUCUUCUGUCUUGGUUUUGUUUGUUUGUUUGUUUGUUUGUUUGUUUUUUCCUAGGCGUCACAUCUGAGGCCCUUGCCAGCAACUCCUCAGCACUGGCCUGUGACUUCAUCUUGGGUUGGUUCUAGUUCAGGAGAAAUGCAUCCCCGAGUUGCCGUCUGUCAUCAGACCAGCUAAGAUGGCCAUUAAGGACAAAUACGCAACCAAACCAAUGAGUAAGACAGAGAGGCACAGAGGCAUCAGUGCGGACCCCAGGGAGCUGGAAGCUGCGUUGCUGAUGGGAACGUAAAGGAGAGGAGCCGCUCUGGGAUAUUGGUCGGCAAUCCCUGGGAAAGUGAAUCUGGCCACGUGAUCCGGGAAAGUGAAUCUGGCCACGUGAUCCGGGAGCGUCACCCCUGGGAGAAUCCUCCGAAGACCUGAAAGCAGAGGCCGCAGCAGGUGUCUGCAGCAUCAACAAAUGCAGGCUGGACAGACCUUGUGGCCAGAUGCCCCAUGAAGUGAUAUUCAGUCAUUGGAAGAAAUGAAAUAUUGACACAUGCCACGACGGAGACAGACCUUGAAGACAUCACGCUGAGUGAAAGAAGCCAGAUAUAGAUUCUCAGGCUUGGAAAAGUCACAGGCACGGAGUAGCCAUCAGCAGUAGCUGACGCAGUGGGCGGGGUUACUGUUUAGUGGGUCCUGGAUUUACAUGGGGACAAUGGAAACAUUCUGGAAAGGGUUCAAGUAAUAAAUGUUACAAUAUA